GCUGUGGCUCAGUGGGUAGAGCAUCUGCUUUGCAUGCAGAAGUUUCCAGGUUCAGUCCUUACCAUAUCCUGGUAGAGCU